GACAGUGUGGUGUAGUGGUGUGAGCAUUGGACUAGGACUCUGGACUCUGGAGACCAGGGUUCAAAUCCUGGCCUGGCCA